AUGUGCUCUCCCUUCUUACUUUCCCCUCUGUUCUGUAUGCUUUCUGAUCCCCUGAUUAUCCCUUCUAGUAGAACAGCAGAGAAGUGUGUGUGUGGACUUGGAGUCCCAGACCAGGAGCUGGUAGAGAAGAACCUAGUGUUCCAGUGUGCUAGACAAUUUCCUGGAGCAAGACUGACAAGAUCAAGGCCCCAUCAUUGCGAUACUUUGGACACAGCUCAGGAAAAACUUUGAAGAUGCUGAUCCUUUGGUGCCACCUUGUGACAAAAAUAUGAAUCGCAGCUUGAACAUCUCUAAGAAAAGAAAGUGGGAGGGAAAAAAAAAAAAAUAAAUAAAAAAAAAAAUAAAAAAAAAAAAAAAAA
rnacentral:lncRNA from 12 species